rnacentral:rRNA from 1 species
AGACCCGAAACCCGGUGAUCUAGCCAUGGGCAGGUUGAAGGUUGGGUAACACUAACUGGAGGACCGAACCGACUAAUGUUGAAAAAUUAGCGGAUGACCUGUGGCUGGGGGUGAAAGGCCAAUCAAACCGGGAGAUAGCUGGUUCUCCCCGAAAGCUAUUUAGGUAGCGCCUCGUGAAUUCAUCUCCGGGGGUAGAGCACUGUUUCGGCUAGGGGGCCAUCCCGGCUUACCAACCCGAUGCAAACUGCGAAUACCGGAGAAUGUUAUCACGGGAGACACACGGCGGGUGCUAACGUCCGUCGUGAAGAGGGAAACAACCCAGACCGCCAGCUAAGGUCCCAAAGUCAUGGUUAAGUGGGAAACGAUGUGGGAAGGCCCAGACAGCCAGGAUGUUGGCUUAGAAGCAGCCAUCAUUUAAAGAAAGCGUAAUAGCUCACUGGUCGAGUCGGCCUGCGCGGAAGAUGUAACGGGGCUAAACCAUGCACCGAAGCUGCGGCAGCGAACGUAUCACCCAAGACAACUUUACGGAGUUGACGAUUGACGGAGCGAAGCGACGUCAAAGCGUUCAUUAAAGUCGAGUUGGCUUAGGGAUACGUUCGUUGGGUAGGGGAGCGUUCUGUAAGCCUGUGAAGGUGUGUCGUGAGGCAUGCUGGAGGUAUCAGAAGUGCGAAUGCUGACAUAAGUAACGAUAAAGCGGGUGAAAAGCCCGCUCGCCGGAAGACCAAGGGUUCCUGUCCAACGUUAAUCGGGGCAGGGUGAGUCGACCCCUAAGGCGAGGCCGAAAGGCGUAGUCGAUGGGAAACGGGUUAAUAUUCCCGUACUUGGUGUUACUGCGAAGGGGGGACGGAGAAGGCUAUGUUGGCCG